GCACUACUGAGGAGUCCCACAAUAGGACGAAACGACUGUCCGGUGC
rnacentral:hammerhead_ribozyme from 1 species